GAGAAGAACGCAGCGAAAUGCGAUAAGUAAUGUGAAUUGCAGAAUUCAGUGAAUCAUCGAAUCUUUGAACGCACCUUGCGCUCCUUGGUAUUCCGAGGAGCAUGCCUGUUUGAGUGUCAUGAAAUUCUCAACCUUUUCAGCUUUCUUUGUUGAUCAGGCUUGGAUGUGGGAGUAUGCGGGCUUCUCAGAAGUCGGCUCUCCUGAAAUGCAUUAGCGGGACCUUUGUUGCCUGGCUUUGGUGUGAUAAUUAUCUACGCCAUUGUAGUCAAGCAGCUUAAAAUGAGGUUUCAGCUUCUAACCGUCUCCCCUGAGACAACUUUUUGACAAUUUGACCUCAAAUCAGGUAGGACUACCCGCUGAACUUAAGCAUAUCAAUAAGCGGAGGA
rnacentral:misc_RNA from 1 species